rnacentral:rRNA from 1 species
GGCUGCAACUCGCCUACAUGAAGUCGGAGUUGCUAGUAAUCGCGGAUCAGAAUGCCGCGGUGAAUACGUUCCCGGGUCUUGUACACACCGCCCGUCACACCAUGGGAGCCUGGAAUGCCCGAAGCCGGUGGCCGAACCGAGAGGGCGGAGCCGCCUAAGGCAGGCCCGGUGACUGGGGUGAAGUCGUAACAAGGUACC